rnacentral:rRNA from 1 species
CAGCAGCCGCGGGAAUACAGAGGGUGCGAGCGUUAAUCGGAUUUACUGGGCGUAAAGCGUGCGUAGGCGGCUUUUUAAGUCGGAUGUGAAAUCCCUGAGCUUAACUUAGGAAUUGCAUUCGAUACUGGGAAGCUAGAGUAUGGGAGAGGAUGGUAGAAUUCCAGGUGUAGCGGUGAAAUGCGUAGAGAUCUGGAGGAAUACCGAUGGCGAAGGCAGCCAUCUGGCCUAAUACUGACGCUGAGGUACGAAAGCAUGGGGAGCAAACAGGAUUAGAUACCUGGGUAGUCCCUGUCUCUUAUAA